rnacentral:rRNA from 1 species
UACGAAGGGUGCAAACGUUGCUCGGAAUUACUGGGCGUAAAGCGUGCGUAGACGGUUAUUUAAGUCGGGUGUGAAAGCCCGGGGCUCAACUCCGGAAUUGCCUUUAAGACUGCAUCGCUAGAAUUGUGGAGAGGUAAGUGGAAUUCCGAGUGUAGAGGUGAAAUUCGCAGAUAUUCGGAAGAACACCAGUGGCGAAGGCGACUUACUGGACACAUAUUGACGCUGAGGUGCGAAAGCGUGGGGAGCAAACAGG